GAGGAAUAUUGGUCAAUGGGCGGAAGCCUGAACCAGCCAUGCCGCGUGCGGGAAGGAGGCCCUAUGGGCUGUGAACCGCUUUUGCCUGGGGGCAAUAAGGGCGUCGCGCACGUCCGAUGAGAGUACCCGGCGAAUAAGCAUCGGCUAACUCCGUGCCAGCAGCCGCGGUAAUACGGGGGAUGCGAGCGUUAUCCGGAUUCAUUGGGUUUAAAGGGUGCGUAGGCUGUGCGUCAAGUCGGGGGUGAAAUUCCGGUGCUCAACACCGGGGCUGCCCUUGAUAAUGUCGCGCUGGAGUGCGGAUGCCGCCGGGGGAAUGAGUGGUGUAGCGGUGAAAUGCUUAGAUAUCACUCAGAACACCGAUUGCGAAGGCAUCUGGCGAAUCCGUAACUGACGCUGAGGCACGAAAGCGUGGGGAUAGAAC
rnacentral:rRNA from 1 species